GUGCUCGCUUUGGCAGCACAUAUACUAAAAUUGGAAUGAUACAGAGACGAUUAGCGUGGCCCCUGAGCAAGAAUGACAUGCAAAUUCGUGAAGCGUUCCAUAUUAAA